UAGAAAAAUGUCAACCUGAUAUACUCCAGGGAAUACCUUUUGACUAAGGCUGAGGUCAUUCUCUAAUUGCUCUAUCCUCUCAUCUUUUGCCUGAAUAGAUAACAAGCCAAUAUUAGAUUGCGGAAACUGAAAUAGGUAAUAUCACAAGAUACAGAACAUCCUUAAUCUUAUUAUUUGAGCUUUCUGCUAAAAACUUGGGAGUGUAGACAUCCUUAAUCUUGCUAUUCUUAUCAGAGAAUGAUGCAGAUAUGUAGAUAUUGAAAACAAGUAUGCUUGACCUUCUUUUCAGCUUCUUCCUUGGCAAAUCUUUCGUGAGAAAUGUAUACACCAUUCUUUUCCCUAGCAGCCCGCACAUCUGCAUUCAUUUUGGAAAAAA